rnacentral:rRNA from 1 species
AUUCAAUGCCCAUGCCCAAUUAAGUGGCAAGGACCUCUUACCUAUUUAAAGUUUGAGAAUAGGUCGAGGAUGUUUCACCCCCGAGGCCUCUAAUCAUUCGCUUUACCUGAUAAAACUUGUAUGAGCUCCAGCUAUCCUAAGGGAAACUUCGGAGGGAACCAGCUACUAGAUGGUUCGAUUAGUCUUUCGCCGCUAUACCCAAAUUUGACGAACGAUUUGCACGUCAGUACCGCUACGAGCCUCCACCAGAGUUUCCUCUGGCUUCACCCUAUUCAGGCAUAGUUCACCAUCUUUCGGGUCCCAACAAAUAUGCUCUUACUCAAACCUUUCACUGAUGAUCCUGGUCGGUCGAUGGUGCAUCUUACGAAUCCCACCUACGUUUACUUUCAUUGCGCAUCCAAGGUUUGCCACCUUACUACUUGCAUACGUGUUAGACUCCUUGGUCCGUGUUCCAAGACGGGCUGAUUGAAGCCAUUGUGCCAGCAUCUUCAGAACGCAGAUCCUGCAACCCAAAUAUCAACCACAGUGCAGACAACACUCCGAAGAGUGUUGGACUACAAUAUAGAAGGAUUUAGGCCGGGCGCUGUGCGCGUUCUUUGUGCCUCAGUCUCAGGCUGGGUUUCCCACUUAUCAAUCACUAGGUUUCAUGGUAAAUGUAGUCUCCCCAACCUCAAACUGAUGCUGACCAACUACCAAAGGCUUCAUUGCGAGGAUAAAUCCCUGCCAUUUGUCUUUGAUAGUAUGAUAUGCUCCAAUCACUUCUCCUCUUAACAAUUUCAAGCCCUUUUUCACUCUCUUUUCAAAGUUCUUUCCAUCUUUCCUUCACAGUACUUGUUCGCUAUCGGUCUCUCGCCAAUAUUUAGCUUUAGAUGAAGUUUACCACCCAUUUUGACCUGCAUUCCCAAGCAAGCCGACUCGCUGGUGCCUGCUCGCCACGCACAACAUUCAGGGUCGAAGACGGGGCUCUAACCCUCUCUGGCACCCAGUUCCAUGAACGGAUUUACACCCGAAGUUGCACGAGUCUGCACCUAUAGACUACAAUUCCGAAGAUUUUCAGCUUGAGCUCUUCCCGGUUCACUCGCCGUUACUAGGGGAAUCCUGGUUAGUUUCUUUUCCUCCGCUUAGUGAUAUGCUUAAGUUCAGCGGGUAAUCUCGACUGAUCUGAGGACGAGUCCUGGAGUUUUGACACAAAGCUGUCAAGCUCCUUGCCAUUCUACUGUUUCCAAGGGCCUACUUUGCGAUUCCGCAACGGCCAAUGAUGUUGCUCCUCGAAAGGCUGCUACAUCAUAGCACAGUGGGAAACUUCAGCCUUUUCCGCAGUGCGAUUUUCAAUUGACGCAGCUCGCGAGCUGUGACAGUCAGUUACCACCUUGUCAAACAAAGUGAUGUUGUUGGGUACCGUCCCUCAGACAGACGUACUCAUGCAAAAAACAUGAGUGCAAUAUGCGUUCAAAGUUUCGAUGAUUCACUGAGCCCUGCAAUUCACACUACAUAUCGCAUUUCGCUGCGUUCUUCAUCGUUGCGAGAACCAAGAUAUCCAUUGUUAAGAGUUGUUUAUGAAUUAAACAGAUUGCACAUAUGUGCAAACACUUCAGUCAUUUGAUGUGUAAAAAUAACGACUUCCACCAGCAGGUUAUCAACCACAGCGUCCUUUGAUGCAAGAACAGAACAACUGGUGGACGCCGCCCAGGAAGCAAAACGCGCAAAUUUGCAUCGACUUUGCAAGGGCCUGGGAUUCUCCGGUUCACUAGGGUUGGUAUGGAUUGGGUGUCAAUGAUCCUUCCGCAGGUUCACCUACGGAAACCUUGUUACGACUUCUCCUUCCUCUAAAUGAUAAGGUUCAAUCAACUUCUCGCAACUAAGA